GAUGAAGAACGUAGUAAAAUGCGAUACUUGGUGUGAAUUGCAGAAUCCCGUGAACCAUCGAGUUUUUGAACGCAAGUUGCGCCCGAAGCCUUUUGGCCGAGGGCACGUCUGCCUGGGCAUCACGCAUCGCGUCGCCCCCCACAAAUUCUCCUCAGGGGAGCUUGUGUUUCGGGGGCGGAUACUGGUCUCCCGUGCUCAUGGCGCGGUUGGCCGAAAUAGGAGUCCCUUCGAUGGACGCACGAACUAGUGGUGGUCGUAAAAACCCUCGUCUUUUGUUUCGUGCCGUUGGUCGCGAGGGAAGCUCUUCAAAAACCCCAGCGCGUCGUCUCUUGACGGCGCUUCGACCGCGACCCCAGGUCAGGCGGGACUACCCGCUGAGUUUAAGCAUAUCAAUAAGCGGAGGA
rnacentral:misc_RNA from 1 species